UACGUAGGGUGCAAGCGUUGUCCGGAAUUAUUGGGCGUAAAGAGCUUGUAGGCGGUUUGUCGCGUCUGCUGUGAAAUUUCGGGGCUCAACCCCGAACUUGCAGUGGGUACGGGCAGACUAGAGUGUGGUAGGGGAGACUGGAAUUCCUGGUGUAGCGGUGAAAUGCGCAGAUAUCAGGAGGAACACCGAUGGCGAAGGCAGGUCUCUGGGCCACUACUGACGCUGAGGCGCGAAAGCUAGGGGAGCGAACGGG
rnacentral:rRNA from 1 species